rnacentral:misc_RNA from 1 species
CGUCCAUCUGAUCCUAGCUGCCCAUCGUAUUUAUUUCUGUGCAUUAAGUAUGGCGGAAGAACUAGAAAUCUUCCCCAAAAUGAAUAUGUCAGGCAGCGCAUGGGAAGAAACAAACUAAAAUCUUUUGGGCCAGUUAUAUGCCGAAUGGCAAUGCUAGUCCAUAUCCGCAGUGGAAGCUUCUUUUUUAAGGCCUUGGGAAUUACAUUUCUGUUCAUGGCUGGUUUUCCUGAUGACCUGGUCAAAAGGGAAACCAAAUACCGGAACUUAGAUUUGCUGCAAAAGUAUUACAGGACAGAUGAAGAUGCUGAAGGGGAGGAAUUGUUUCUCGCACAUCCAAUGAAUUGUGAUACUCAGGCCAGUCCAGGUUCUCAUAAGUCAACUGGGAAGUCAAUUUCCACAAAAUUGAAGGGCAAGAAACAAGCAAAAUCCAUAAGUAAGCCUCUGAAUUUGCCAAGAUCCUCAGUUCAUCAGUCUGUACCGUCAAGCUCUGCACCACCCACCCAGUUUGGGCUUAUGGGCUAUACUAAAAUUCAAACUCAGGCAAUAGCAUCAUUCCAAUCCAUACCAUCUCAAACUCCACCAGAUAUCUUAAAUGUCUCUAACCAAGUGAUGAACAGUUCUGGUACCAAUAUCUCUUACAACAAUCAAACCCCAUAUCAUAUGUUCCCACCACAACCAGCAAAUGCUUUCUUGCCUAUGGUGUAUUGGUCUGCACCAAAUGCAUUUCCUCCUACUCCUUAUGCCUCUACAUAUGGUUACCAAGCUUUUCCAUCCACUACAAACUACAUGUCCUUACAUCCUCAGCCUUAUUACAGCAAUCCCUCCUGCAGUCCUUCAAUUCCUAAAAUGGCAGAAAGAAAUUGGAAGAAUGAUGCUGCCUUGGUGGAAGCUGAUAGCGACUCUGAUAGUAAUUCUAGCAGUACAGAGCCAAAACAGGCAUUGGCAGGCUGCAAAUAAUGGAGCAGAAGCUAUAUAUGUCUUUGAUGUAAAUUAUCUCUAUUGGAAAUAAUCCUAGCAGAAGAAGGUGCAGUGUGUUGCAGUUUUAGGCCUCUCCUCCAUUGCUGGUAUUCCAUGCAACUUUGAGUCUAUUUAUUUAUAUAGUGAAUAUAUUUUUCUGUUCUUAUUUGCCUCUUUGGCCAUUAAUUUCAUCUCUGAGCUAUGCAUACAAAAUGAAUCUGUUAUGAAAAUUAGAUGGUCG